GUCCUUUAGGCUGGAUGUUUGCUUUAUUUAUUGGGUUUGCUAUAAAUAGAGGCUCUGCUCCUCUGUAUCCCUGCUUCAUAAGAGAGGAAAUCAUCUAGAUGUUUGAAGCUGAACAAACAAACAAGAAGAAAACUGGAAGCCUCUCAUCACCUCCAAAAAUGCAGAAAACAUCAAAUUCAAGUGUCAACAGAACUCCAAAUUGUACCCCAUCCUCUGAACAAACAUGAGCCUAUAUUCUAACCUAAGACAAGUAUGGGCUUUUCUGUCUAAUGGUCUACAGAUUCUGGCUUCUUUUUUUUUAAGCAAGCGUAAAGUUUACAUUGUCAGCAACUGCCCCUCUUUUUAAUCAGAGGAGCUCCAGCUUGAGCUCUGCACAAGGAAGAAGGUGGGUCUCUCAGAUAGAUUCGUUCAAAACCUUAAAUUUCACAAUGGACAGUCAAAUUU